ACAUUUAUUCAACAAAAGGAAAAUUAACAAAUUUGUCUUUAACUCAUGUAAUCAUAAGUGAAAAAUAAAACGAUCAGAUGUUUACAUGUGUCAUUCCAAAUUUUACUUUUUUAUUCUCUAAAAAAAUAGAAAAUCUUAAAAAGUAAACAAAUUUACAUAUACUAAUUUAUAUGUCUAUAUAUUUAUAAACAAUUUACAUUUAUUCAACAAAAAGAAAAUUAACAAAUUUGUCUUUAACUCAUGUAAUCAUAAGUGAAAAAUAAAACAUUUUGAGAAAAAUAGCUUAGCUUAUAGGAUUUAACUUUUCA
rnacentral:sRNA from 1 species